UACGUAGGUGGCAAGCGUUGUCCGGAAUUAUUGGGCGUAAAGCGCGCGCAGGCGGUCCUUUAAGUCUGAUGUGAAAGCCCACGGCUCAACCGUGGAGGGUCAUUGGAAACUGGGGGACUUGAGUACAGAAGAGGAAAGCGGAAUUCCACGUGUAGCGGUGAAAUGCGUAGAGAUGUGGAGGAACACCAGUGGCGAAGGCGGCUCUUUGGUCUGUAACUGACGCUGAGGCGCGAAAGCGUGGGGAGCAAACAGG
rnacentral:rRNA from 1 species